rnacentral:sRNA from 1 species
AGAACCUUUAACACAGUUCAGAGAGACUGAGAAGGAAACGGAUACGCAAAGUGGGAUAAUUAUGCCCAUGGCGAUAAAAUCCUCAUGCCUUCUUGGCAUGAGGAUUUUUUUGU